rnacentral:rRNA from 1 species
UACCAUGCAGUCGAACGGACCGCUUGGGCGCUUUGCGUUUGGGUUGGUUAGUGGCSAACGGGUGARYAACACGUGAGUAACCUGCCCCCUUCUUCGGGAUAACGUUCGGAAACGGAUGCUAAUACCGGGUAUUUACCUCAUGUCGCAUGGWGUGGGGUGGAAAGGUUUUUUCUGGUGGGGGAUGGGCUCGCGGCCUAUCAGCUUGUUGGUGGGGUGAUGGCCUACCAAGGCUUUGACGGGUAACCGGCCUGAAGGGUGACCGGCACAUUGGGACUGAAUACGGCCCAACUCCUACGGGAGGCAGCAGUGGGGAAUUUUGCACAAUGGGCGAAAGCCUGAUGCAGCGACGCCGCGUGAGGGAUGACGGCCUUCGGGUUGUAAACCUCUUUCGCUCAUGGUCAAGGCUAGUUUUUGUUCUAGUUGAGGGUAGUGGGUAAAGAAGCGCCGGCUAACUACGUGCCARCAGCCGCGGUAAUACGUAGGGCGCGAGCGUUGUCCGGAAUUAUUGGGCGUAAAGGGCUUGUAGGCGGCUUGUCGCGUCUGCCGUGAAAACCCACAGCUUAWCUGUGGGCUUGCGGUGGGUACKGGCUGGCUUGAGUGCGGUAGGGGAGACUGGAAUUCCUGGUGUAKCGGUGGAAUGCGCAGAUAUCAGGAKGAACACCGGUGGCGAAGGCGGGUCUCUGGGCCGUUACUGACGCUGASGAKCGAAAGCGUGGGGAGCGAACAGGAUUAGAUACAC